CCUACGGGCGGCUGCAGUCGGGAAUAUUGCGCAAUGGAGGAAACUCUGACGCAGUGACGCCGCGUGCAGGAAGAAGGCUUUCGGAUUGUAAACUGCUUUUGACAGGGAAGAAAAAAGACAGUACCUGUAGAAUUAGCUCCGGCCAACUACGUGCCAGCAGCCGCGGUCAUACGUAGGGAGCCAGGGUUAUCCGGAUUUAUUGGGUGUAAAGGGUGCGUUGACGGAGAAACAAGUUAGUUGUGAAAUCCCGCGGCUUAACUGAGGAACUGCAACUAAAACUAUUUACCGUGAGUACUGGAGAGGAAAGUGGAAUUCCUAGUGUAGCGGUGAAAUGCGUAGAUAUCUGGAGGAACAUCAGUGGCGAAGGCGACUAUCUGGAACAUAACUGACGCUGAGGAGCGAAAGCGUGGGUAGCAAACAGGAUUAGAUACCCCGGUAGUC
rnacentral:rRNA from 1 species